AUUGAACGCUGGCGGCAUGCCUUACACAUGCAAGUCGAACGGCAGCACGGGAGCAAUCCUGGUGGCGAGUGGCGAACGGGUGAGUAAUAUAUCGGAACGUGCCCAGUAGUGGGGGAUAACUGCUCGAAAGAGCAGCUAAUACCGCAUACGACCUGAGCGUGAAAGCGGGGGAUCGCACGACCUCGCGCUAUUGGAGCGGCCGAUAUCAGAUUAGCUAGUUGGUGGGGUAAAAGCUCACCAAGGCGACGAUCUGUAGCUGGUCUGCGAGGACGACCAGCCACACUGGGACUGAGACACGGCCCAGACUCCUACGGGAGGCAGCAGUGGGGAAUUUUGGACAAUGGGCGCAAGCCUGAUCCAGCCAUGCCGCGUGCGGGAAGAAGGCCUUCGGGUUGUAAACCGCUUUUGUCAGGGAAGAAACGGCUCCUACUAAUACUGGGGGCUAAUGACGGUACCUGAAGAAUAAGCACCGGCUAACUACGUGCCAGCAGCCGCAGUAA
rnacentral:rRNA from 1 species